GGCGCAUGAAGAGGAGACAAGGGAGGGAGCAGAAUGGUCUUUUAAAAACUGCUUCACUGCACUAAUGUUCCUGAAACCUGAGCUCUUAUUGGAUCUGAAGGGCAUUAUAAGACAAGGCAUCCUCCACCCUCUACCCCUGUUUAAAGGGAUUGCUUUCAUUCAGGGAAGGAGAGGCGAAAAAGCCUUCCAGCAGAGCCCACUCCAGCUCAGCUCUUCUCCCCGUGUGCCUGUCCCCUUGUCUCUGCUUGCCAGGCCAGUUGACCAACCCUCCAACAAACCAGCCACCGGCCCGCCUGGACGGCUCGCUCGCGCCCAGGCUUGUUACUGUGAGGUAGUCAGACGCAGCUAGCUGCCUCGUGGCCUCUGACAUUUGCGUGGAAAAAAAAAAAAACGAGGAUGUGCUCAACUUUCCUCUCCUACACCUGCGAUCGCGCUCUGGGGUCUCAAGAAACCCCCCCACCCUGGAACCAGUCCAGGCCUCAUGUUAUAUGCAGGGAACACAGCAACCUCUUCUGGCCAAAAGUGAACGCAGCAGAGAGUCUGUGCUGAAGCCAGAAUAUAACAAGCUCUGUGUUCCCAUUUCUUUCUCUGUGUCAGGCACUGAGAGCUACAAGGAUACCAGAUGCCGUCCCAGCCUAUUUGUCUUAUCCGUUUUCACAGACAAACUAAUUGCUAUACAAAAGGUGCUGGCGUGUCCUGUCGAGGACCCUUGUAAAUGCUUUACAUCCACCACUCCAUUCUGCCUGCCAGUAAACUGGCUAAUUAUAAAAGGAUCACAAAAGAGUGUGAUUAGGGAUACAGAAGAGGGGGAGGAGGUGCGGUCCCACACCAGUGUAAAUGGAGCACCUGAAACUGUUAGCUUAACAUUAAUGAAAACUCAUUUUUGAAGCUGCCCAAAUAGAAACUUAAGAGGAGAAAAUAAACGUUUUAUUAUUGUUGGAACAUUAAUGUUUAGAGGUUCUAGUGCCACCUGUUAAUAUAAGACACACACACACACACAGGUAGAGCAGAUCCUUGUUUUUUUAUUUCAAACACAGUGUAAUAAAUUAUUUUAACUUAGUUUUUUUUAAUGAUUUUUCCAUCAGUUGAAUAAAAAAUUCUCAAUAAAAUGUCUUCAAAUUCUUUGAUUUUUUCAGCAACUAUUAAAAAAAUAUAUACUGCACUAAGCAGAUCUUAUUAUACUAAAAGC